CAACAAAGAUGAUUAGGGGACUGGAGGCUAAAACAUACAAGGAACGGUUGCUGGAAUUGGAAGACCCAGACAUCUGGUUCUGAUGAGAUUCCAACAAAAAUGGAAGAAUGCUACAUCUACUGCAACCAGAUUGCCCAAACAGCUGAAACACUCAAGAAGAUGAGCCAUCUUUCUGUCUGGCUCUCCUCUUCAAUAAAGCAGUCACCAUGUUGUUUAUUCCCAGCUUGGACUGAACCAUGAUGAAGAAUUUUUCUUCAACAGUUUCUUUUCAUGUUUUUUGAAUCAAUUUGUGUCCCACAUCCAUCACAUCUGGGCUACUCUAUGAACACCUAAUUCAAGUGGCUUUCUUAUUAUAUUUGCUUAAAACAUCAA